UCCUUCAAAAUAAUCUAAUACAACUCAGAGAAAUCCAGGAACGGGUGAUACAAGACAACACACACCUCCAGGGACUCGACAGUGUGAGCAUUUCCACAAUUGACCGUGUCCUCCAGCGUACCAGCAUGGGAAUGAAACAAGUUUACAGAGUACCUAUUGAGCACAACUCUCCAAGGGUGAAAGAACUGGGAGCCUAGUUUGUGCAAACAAUAUUUGACUUGGAAUCCUUGGACAGACCCCAUGAGUUCAUCUUUGUCGAUGAAGCAGGCUUCAAUCUGAAGUGCUCUAGCCUGAUCCAGCCCAAAGACAAGAAGAAGCACAGUGAUCACAUGUUUACUCCUUUGAUUUUGUAUUCUAUACUGUAGUACAGUGCAUUGUAGGCUAUAUACUGUACAAUAAAAACAAAUUGUCUGGCCUGAACAUUGUGCUUUUUCAUUUGUUUACAGCACUGAAUGCUCAAUAGAUUUUGACUUUUGGUUGCAAGUUCAUAUCAACAAAGAACAAGAAUUACACUAUCACAGAGACAAAGGACAAGUUUGUGAGAUACAGUGUACAGAACUGUAUAAAUAUGGGUACAAGAAGGAGGAUGAACAAAAAAAAAUUGCAAAGAGCAUCAUGUCUGAUCAAUUUUGAUCUACUAUGAUUGAACAUGUUUUCAUUCAUCAGAAAACAAUGAUGUAUGUAAUUUGUUUUGAGAUUGAAAAUGUACUUCUCUGUAAGAACUAUAUGUUUUGAACAUGUUUUCUAUUUUUUGGUGUAUUUUUUGACUGCUUGAUAGUGUAUAUAAUUUUGAUCACUUUGUUUAUGAUUGGAGAGCAGUGUUUGGUUUUGAGCACAGGUAAAUCUGUUUUGAGGCAAAAGUUUAAUUUUGCACGAGGAGUCAGAGGUUUUGUAAAAAGUGCUUGAAGCUGAGGUUUUGUGUUUAAUGUUUUCAGACAAUGGAGCAAGGUUUCACAAAUUGUGUUUUAGCAGUUGAGAAAAACUGUAAUCGCCUCCAUGUUCACAUCCUUCUCUGUGUGAUUACAAGCCCUUGCCCUUAUGUGUUUCACCUGUGUCUCGUUAUCCCUUCCCUCCUGUCUGUAUUUAACCAGUGCUCCCCUGUGUGUCAGUGCCAGAAUGUCUUGUCUCCUAGAGCAGCAUUACAGUGUUUUAUGUAUGAGAGUUUUCUUUGGCUUUCUGGGUUUUGACCCUUGGACUGAAUUGAAAGACCUUAAGAACUGAUUUUUGCCUGCCUGCCUGCAUCUGUGUCUGCCAGUCUCACUGUUCAUGAUACUUACUUUAAUGAGUGUACAUCAUGUAAAGCUACCAUCUAAUGUAGGAUCCCUCAAGGCUCAAUACUCAUU